CUAGCAUAGCCAAAAUCAGGAUUAGAACAAUGAAACUGCCCUUUGAUUUGGCAACAUUGACAAGAGCAGUCUCUCUCAAGACCUCAAAAAGGGCAGUUUCUGUGAAACCAUGAAAUCAAAGCCUGACUGAAGUGGAUUAAGAAGAGAGAUAAGUAAAAAGCAGACGCAGAAUCUAUAAACAAUUCUAUCAAAAUGUUGUGUUGUAAAGGGAGCAAGUAAAAGGAGCUAAGGCAGUAGGUGAAGGGAGAUGUAGGGUCAAGAGAGCUCUGUGGAGAUUUUUUGUUCUUUUAUUUACAUAAAGGAUACUAAAGCAUAUUUAUAUACUAAUGAGAGUACUUUGGCAGACAAGAGUAAACUGAUAAUGCAAGAGAAAAGAUAAUUAUGGCAAAGGCCUGGAGGGGUUAGAAUUCAGAGCACAAGUAGGAAGGUUAGUUUUUUAUAGGAGCAGGGACAUAAAACUCCAAUAAGAGGGAAAGCUGACUUUGUAAUAUGCAGGUAGAUUAGUAGAUUUGUGGUGGCGAGGUAAAGAUGUUACUAUGUGAGUAGUUUAAUUUUACAAAGAAAAGUCAAUACAGGGGUGGUAAGGGAGUAUAGACUGGAAGAGAGAUACAUAAAUAGUUGCAGAAUAGGAAAGUGAAUAUAGAUGUAUGUCAUAUAUACAUACAGACAUAGUUAAUGGGUAUUUGUGUGUUAAUACAGGAUAGAAAAAAACCUAGAAAAUAUUUCAAAGCAUCUUUAUUAAACAUAAGUAAUUUUAUUGGAAGACCUAAAACUUUUGCUUUCCAAGGACUCUUGAUAAGAGUCAAGUGAUUGAGGAUUUCUUAAAUGCUAUAGAUACUUCUCAUGUUUUUUUUUUUUUGUCUAUUACAGAGUAAAUGGCAGAAAUAAUUUUUAGCCAUUCAUUAUAAUCUGAG
rnacentral:lncRNA from 1 species